rnacentral:rRNA from 1 species
GUAGGUGGCAAGCGUUGUCCGGAAUUAUUGGGCGUAAAGCGCGCGCAGGCGGUUCUUUAAGUCUGAUGUGAAAGCCCACGGCUCAACCGUGGAGGGUCAUUGGAAACUGGAGAACUUGAGUACAGAAGAGGAAAGCGGGAUUCCACGUGUAGCGGUGAAAUGCGUAGAGAUGUGGAGGAACACCAGUGGCGAAGGCGGCUUUCUGGUCUGUAACUGACGCUGAGGCGCGAAAGCGUGGGGAGCAAACAGGGAUUAGAUACCCUGGUAGUCCACGCCGUAAACGAUGAGCGCUAAGUGUUAGGGGGGUUUCCGCCCCCCUUAGUGCUGCAGCUAACGCAUUAAGCACUCCGCCUGGGGAGUACGGCCGCAAGGCUG